AUGCAACCUCCACCGCCACUUCUUGGAUGGCUCAAGACCAUCGCUCUCUCCAUCUCCGGCGCCUUGCCCAGCUUCGUUUCUCACCUCGUGCCUCACCAUGAUCCGGCCGCUGCCUCACCCUCCCGCCACCAUCAACUACUUGAAGAUCAGCUUCGUCUGACGAACCAACAAGACAGCGGUGGUGGAGAGAUCAGGUUUGGGAGAGGCAACCCGACGAUGCAAAGAGGCCAGGGGAUGAGUUGGAAACUCUUCAAGGAACCCGCGUGUAGCACCAUCAGAUCUGGUCCCCUUCCAACUAUUUGA
rnacentral:rRNA from 1 species